AUCGGCUCUGUGCUGGUAAGUGUCAGUUACAAGCGUUUUCGAGUGUUUAGUGAUUUUGUUUCUUGUUUUUUGGCAAUUCCCACUUGAAUUGAAUUAUUUAUAUAUUUGUUUGUGUUGUUUACUGUUAAGUGUACGUUGUAAUUCAACAGUGAAAAUCUGCCACUUUAAUACCGUAUAAAUAUUUAACACUUGUACUCUCAUGACACCAAUAUUCUUAGCAGAGCAUUUACCCUAAACAUAAAAUCAUAGACUCACUCUGACAUUGGCAAAUCCUCACGGAAGCCAUUAUACAAGAAGAAGAAGAAGAACGAUCAUAU
rnacentral:misc_RNA from 1 species